CUUGGCGCUGAGAGGAAGUGCAGACGACGCAUGUAGUUUGACUGACGAACGGCGGAAAAAUAAAUAUGGAAAACGUGGAGGAGUUAAGGAGAGUGUUCAACAAGAACUUUUAGCAAUUGCUCAGUAUGUGGAAGAAAAUGUUCAGCCGGACUACAUUCUGAGGAUGGUAGAAGAUGUCAGCAAAAGUCAUGGGCAAAUAUCUGCUCUGACCGAUACAGACAUUGAUCCGGUUGUGUGGCACACUCUUGAAGAGGUACGCAUGCAACUAAGUCUUGCAGCCAGGCCAUCAGACCUGGGCGACGUCCACUGGAAGUCCAGGUGGACAUAAUGGAGUCCUACAUUCUUGCAGGAUUAUCAGCUGUCAAAAUAGCUGAACUGUUUGGAGUGUCAGUUAGAACCAUAAGAAGGAGAAUGGCAUCCCAUGGCUUGAGAUGCCGAAUCGUGAUCCAUGCAGGAGUGGAUGGAUUUAGCAGGCUCAUAGUUUAUAUAGGAGCAGCUACAAACAACAAAUCCACCACUGUUCUGGACAGUUUCAGGUCAGCUGUUGCUCAGUAUGGCUUACCAUCUCGUGUAAGAUCUGAUAAGGUAAAGUGAAAUAUUGCAUUGACAAAAAUAAAACGUCCUGCAUUGAGACAACAAAAGUACUAAAGAACAGAACUUUUGAAAAACAGUAUUCCUUUUUUUCUUUUUGCCUAUUUAUAUAUUAAUUUCCUGAAGGGUGGGGAAAAUGUUGCUGUGGCCCAUUACAUGGUGAGUCAGAGAGGAACAGGCCGACAUUCCCACAUCACUGGACGCAGUGUACAUAAUCAAAGAUGAUACAUGGUUGUGUAACAAAUUAGGAUCAUGAAUAUCAGAUAUAUUUUUAAAAUACUGAAAAGGAAAUUCCUGUUAUAUACAUGCAAUUGCAAAUUUGGACUAAUUGUUUUUGUGUUUUUUUUAAUCUACAGAAUUGAAAGAUUAUGGAGAGACGUGUAUGGAAAUGUCCUCGACUUGUUCCAUACACUAUUUCUCAAUUUGGAAUUGGAAGGGUUUCUAAACCCUGACAAUGAACUGGAGUUAUUCGCUCUCCACUGGAUCUACGUCCCACAGCUGCAGCAGCAUCUUCAGGCAUUCAAGGAAGCCUGGAAUCACCAUAGUUUGAGGACAGAGAGAGGGCAAUCCCCCAUGCAACUGUGGCUUAGUCAGCCACGGGAGGGAAAUGCUGCUGAUCCAGUUGAGGUUGCUGCUGAUUAUGGAAUAGACUGGACAGGACCUCACACCCCAUACCCAGAGGGUGUCACUGUACCUGAUGCACAACUACCCCAGCAGCUUACCCAAGCUGAAGUUACGUCAUUGUCUGAUCCGGCAGUCCCUUUUUCUGCUGCACUACGGGCGUACAUGGAUACAGUGUAUAUUCUUAAGGACAUUUUUCAACAAACCUAGGCCUAUCACAACUCACCUUAACAUGAUCAGAAUGAAACCGUUUGAAAUGGUCGAACAAGACUUGAAAGAAUGCUGCAAAUUUUUGGUGCAUAAUUUUAUGACCAGUUGUGAAUUUCAAAUAAAUGCCUGUGAAAACAAAAAUGUAAAAAAACAAGACACAACAAAGGGAUACAAAACUGCUUUUAUUGCAUGCUGAAUAAUUUGACAGCUUUUAAAAGCAUUAAAACAAUGUGCAAAUAAAAAUUUUUUU
ensembl:lncRNA